GACGAACGCUGGCGGUGUGCUUAACACAUGCAAGUCGAACGGAAAGGCCCUGCUGUUGUGGGGUGCCCGAGUGGCGAACGGGUGAGUAACACGUGAGUAACCUGCUCUUGAUUUUGGGAUAACUUCAGGAAACUGGGGCUAAUACCGUAUAGGAUCCCCCGCUGCAUGGAGGGGGUUGGAAAUUUUCGGCGGUUGGGGAUGGACUCGCGGCUUAUCAGCUUGCUGGUGGGGUAGUGGAUUACCAAGGCUUUGACGGGUAGCCCGCCUGGGAGGGUGACCGGCCACCUUGGGACUGAGAUACGGCCCAGACUCCUACGGGAGGCAGCAGUGGGGAAUAUUGCACAAUGGGCGGAAGCCUGAUGCGGCAACGCCGCGGGCGGGAUGACGGCCUUCGGGUUAUAAACCGCUUUCGCCUGUGACGAAGCGUGAGUGACGGUAAUGGGUAAAGAAGCACCGGCUAACUACGUG
rnacentral:rRNA from 1 species